rnacentral:rRNA from 1 species
UACGGGAGGUGCAAGCGUUGUUCGGAGUGACUGGGCGUAAAGCGCACGUAGGUGGGCUUGUAAGUCGGAUGUGAAAUCCCUGGGCUUAACCUAGGAACUGCAUCCGAAACUAUGAGUCUUGAAUGCUGCAGAGGUUGGUAGAAUUCCAGGUGUAGGAGUGAAAUCCGUAGAUAUCUGGAGGAAUACCGGAGGCGAAGGCGGCCAACUGGGAAUGCAUUGACACUGAGGUGCGAAAGCGUGGGGAGCAAACAGG